rnacentral:lncRNA from 10 species
AAUGACUCUGUGCUUCAGUUUUCUCAGCUGAAAAAUGAGGAUAAUAAUGGAGCCCACCUAAUAGGUUUGCUGUUCUGGAAUUGACAAAACAAAUUAGCAUCAUCUACUUUUUCAAGGUAUACUAGAAGUCUUCUAUGAAUCCAUCUGCGCCUGGAAUCUAAUGCAAAAAUUAUAUGAUCAGCUACUGAUAUGCUAAACAGAUUUUGCAACAUUCAACCUAAAUUCUUCAUGAAAAUCUUUAAUAAUACUAAUUCAGGGAAAAUAUAUAUACAAAAGCCAAAACUAUGUUUAAUGGGGAAAUAUAGAAUUAUGACUAGUACCAGGAACAAGACAGGGAUACCUACAUUAGCAUUAUUAUGCAACAUUGUACUCAAGGUAGACAUUAAGGCACUUAGGAAAAAUAACUAAAGGUAUACAAAUUAGAAAGGAGAUGGUAACAUGGUAGCUACUUGUGAAUGAUAUGACAGUCUAUCUGGAAAACUCAAGAGAACCAACUGAAAAAUCUACUACUACUAGUAUAAAUAUUUAGAGAGUUCAGUAAAGUAGUAAAAUACAAAAUUAAUAUGUGGAAAUUAAUAACUUUUAUUCAUACAAAAUAUAAUGAAAAAUAACAAUAGCAACAGAAAAAUAAUAAAAUAUUUAUGAAUAAACUUAACAGGAAAUGUGCAAGAACACAAAAGUUGAUUUGAACAAAUGAAAAGACAUUCCGUGCUCUGUCAUAGAAAAGUUCAGUAUCCUAUGUUUUAAUCCUUUUAUAAGUUAACUUUGUAACUGUAAUGUGUUGGUAAUAAAUAUAUAAAUUGUUUGCCUGUUGACAGAGAUGCAAACUUAGGUACUGUGCCCAUAGUAUAUGUGGUCAGGGAAGACUUUAAAACAAAUCAUAUAUAGCAUUCAUGUAAAUCUAUUCUUGUUCAGAAAAUUAAAUAAAUAUUUUUAUAACUCAUGUGUGCCUAAACCUUUAAAGCCUGAACAUUCAUAUAUAUUUUGUUUGGAG